AAUAGAUACCCGGGUAGUCCAUGCCGUAAACGAUGUCUACUAGCCGUUGGGGCCUUUGAGGCUUUAGUGGCGCAGCUAACGCGAUAAGUAGACCGCCUGGGGAGUACGGUCGCAAGACUAAAACUCAAAUGAAUUGACGGGGGCCCGCACAAGCGGUGGAGCAUGUGGUUUAAUUCGAUGCAACGCGAAGAACCUUACCUGGUCUCGACAUAGUAAGAACUUUCCAGAGAUGGAUUGGUGCCUUCGGGAACUUACAUACAGGUGCUGCAUGGCUGUCGUCAGCUCGUGUCGUGAGAUGUUGGGUUAAGUCCCGCAACGAGCGCAACCCUUUUCCUUAUUUGCCAGCGGGUUAAGCCGGGAACUUUAAGGAUACUGCCAGUGACAAACUGGAGGAAGGCGGGGACGACGUCAAGUCAUCAUGGCCCUUACGACCAGGGCUACACACGUGCUACAAUGGUCGGUACAAAGGGUUGCUACCUAGCGAUAGGAUGCUAAUCUCAAAAAGCCGAUCGUAGUCCGGAUUGGAGUCUGCAACUCGACU
rnacentral:rRNA from 1 species